rnacentral:sRNA from 1 species
CGGGAUUACUCCUGGAUUUUUACCAUUUGACCGGCGAACCGGCCGUGUUUUGGUGUCUGAUCCAGUAAACAUGACUGAAUCGGGAGCACCAUCUGCGUAGGCAUUUCUAUUAAGGCUUGCGCCACCUACGGUCUUGGAUAGCCCCCGCCAGGCAGGGACCCCAAAAACCGGCGAGCCGCAAGCGACUCGC